CAGGUUCAAACGUGAGCGGCGCGACUGCGCGAGGCGAGAGCGUAGCUCCGUAGUUAGCCCCCUACCACCGAGACCAGAGAUAGCGGUACCCUGAGUCGGCCUUACUUAGGGAUGUAAGGAAUGAAAAAAAUGAAGUUGUAAUAAUAUAAUUAAAGCUAGAUUGUAUUUGGGAGCUAAAAAGAAUGAAAGUUGUAAUAUGUAAAUAUAUGUGAGUUGAAUGAUUGUAAUAACUUAGUUGUAUUUAUGUUUAUGAUA
rnacentral:lncRNA from 1 species